AUGAGCUGCUGGAGCUUCCUGCAGCGUGGACACAGCAGAGAUCAUUGCAGGCGUUGCUUGGUGCCCUUCAUGCUGUGCAGGGUAGUGCAGAGCCAUCUCAGGAUCUGCACAGUGGUUCCUGAGUUCAUGCUGGCCGUCUCAGUGCUCUGCUCCUCCAUUCUGAGCCACUCGAGGAGCCCUUAUGGGCUGUUUCCAAGCUGCUCAGUUCUUUCUGGCCAAACGGAGAGCUCGUGCUUUGAGAAUGCAGCGUGGAGCAGAUGCAGAGGAGCUGAAACGUGCUUUUUGCAGAUGCUCAGAAUCUUGAAGGCAAACGAAGGCAGAUUGGCUUGUUCCCAGCCCAGGGUGAGAGCAUCAUGCACAGAAAGCACUGCAGUUGUGGAACAGAGCGUGGCCAGGUGGUGGAAUUCAUACACAGGGUGCUGCACGUUGUUGAGUUCUGCCUGCUGUUCCUUUGUCUUGAAUGGAGGACGGGACACCGAGGGGAGCACAGGGAAGCCCAGGGUUGUGCUGAGUGCUGAGGGGGGAGCUGGAUCCCUUCAGCUGCUGCUGAAAGGCUGGAAAAAGUGA
rnacentral:lncRNA from 1 species